UGGGGGAUAUUGCACAAUGGGCGAAAGCCUGAUGCAGCGACGCCGCGUGGGGGAUGAAGGCCUUCGGGUUGUAAACUUCUUUUGCUCUGAACAAGGCAUGGUAAUGGGUGUGUUGAGUGUAGGGGUUGAUUAGCGCCGGCUAACUACGUGCCAGCAGCCGCGGUAAUACGUAGGGCGCGAGCGUUGUCCGGAAUUAUUGGGCGUAAAGGGCUUGUAGGUGGCUGGUUGCGUCUGUCGUGAAAGCUCAUGGCUUAACUGUGGGUUUGCGGUGGGUACGGGCUGGCUUGAGUGCAGUAGGGGAGGCUGGAAUUCCUGGUGUAGCGGUGGAAUGCGCAGAUAUCAGGAGGAAUACCGGUGGCGAAGGCGGGUCUCUGGGCUGUUACUGACACUGAGGAGCGAAAGCAUGGGGAGCGAAGAGG
rnacentral:rRNA from 1 species